GAUCCUGGCUCAGGAUGAACGCUAGCUACAGGCUUAACACAUGCAAGUCGAGGGGCAGCGGGGUGUAGCAAUACACCGCCGGCGACCGGCGCACGGGUGAGUAACGCGUAUGCAACUUGCCUAUCAGAGGGGGAUAACCCGGCGAAAGUCGGACUAAUACCGCAUGAAGCAGGGAUCCCGCAUGGGAAUAUUUGCUAAAGAUUCAUCGCUGAUAGAUAGGCAUGCGUUCCAUUAGG
rnacentral:rRNA from 1 species